CUGGUCCUGGCCCUUGCAUGUGGACAUGCGCUCCCAUACAGUUCAGCAGCCACCCCUCUACCUUUCCUGGGGAAAAACCUGCUCACACAGAAAUGCUAAAAUAUUUUCCCUGUUGGAGUACAUCUUGGAUGGUAAAUCAAGGCUUGAAUCCUCCCUACAUGGUCCCAGCUGGGGCUUGGUGAGGGUGCGUGGGAUCUCCUUGUGCUGGGUUUCCUUUCCUCUGGAACAGCUACAAGCUGCUGGGUGCAGGCCAAGGCAGAGGCAGAGGAGGCAGCUGAUGCACACCCCAUUCUUGCCCUAACAUGGAGUGAGGACAAGGCUGCAGGGCACAUGUAGAUACAAAAGCUUUUUUUUAAUAUCAAGACUAAGAACAAAGCACCUUGUAUAGCAAAGUGAAUUUUACAGCUUUUUUCCAGCCUGGAAAAAGGCUUUUCAGAGCAGAUAGUGCUGGCAAUGUCUCCUAGCAAGUCUGCACGCUUUACUCAAGGUAGUUUAUCUUAAGCUGUUUUUUCAUUCCUGCAAAUUUAAAAUUGUCCUCCCAGACCCACAAAAUUAAAUAAAAGCAGUGACUUUAAAACAAAAGACCUCAGUAUAAAAGCCCAAGUGAAAUUCGUACAUUUUUACAGAGCAGCUUCCAAAAGCCUGCCCAUAAUUGUAGUUUUAAGAGGACUUGCAAUUUAUGCAUAGCCUCUAAACAUCUCCCUCCAUCAGUAAGUUUUCUGGUGCCAUGUGGAGUAAGGAGUAUGACUCUGCUAACACUAGAGAUGCAAGUAUUCACUGUGUACAUGCAAGAGGACAAGGUAUGUAUAAAAUACUUACAGAAUUACAUAGCAGCUAUUACUUUCAUAAAAGUGUUGGCAACUGAGCAGAGGGGGAAAAAGCCAAAAUUUGUUCACCAGAGAGCAAAAGAGGAGCAGGACUGAGCAGUUAGAUGUUGGCUCUGGGAACUGAACCAUCCUCAUGUGUGUAGCCCCUGUGCAUGCUGUCUCUUGCCUGGGAAAGCUGUUGCAGCUUGUCCCCCUGCAAACAAAGGUGCAGAAGCCCUUGCGUUAUUGAGGGGAAAGAUGGAAAUUUCCUACAGAGGGAGGAAGUCUUUUGAGAAUCACAUUUCACUGUUUCAACUGUUUAAGGAAAAGCUUGUUUAUAAUAGUAUCCUGUCAAUAGGAGGUGUCUGUGUAGGUAGGUGUAUAUAUACACAGAAUGUAUGUGUAUGAGGAGAAAGAACUUUCACUGUGGUCUGUCUGCCUUAAGCACAUUGCUUCUAUGUUUCCUUAAAGCCUGCAACUUCAUUAAAAAAGAAAAAAAAAAAGACAUUAAGGAACUCCCAAGGUAGAGUGCAUGUGAGUGUGUGUGUGAGGGAGUGUGAGUAACUUAUCUUCACAUUUAGCUGGAGCCUUGGUAUUGUCAAAGCAGCUGAAUCACUGCCUGAGAGCUGCCAUCUUUGCCAUGGUGAUAAUUUGUCAGAGUGCCAACACUGCUGCCUACUGUCUCUGAAGAGCUGACCUUGUAACAACAUCAACACUCUUUCUUUGGCUUCUGCUGACAUACUCUAGGCUCUGGAAACUGUUUUCAAAACAAAUAUAUAAUCGAGUGUUGUGCUUGUAAAAGCAAUUGUGUUUCUGUCCGUCAGAUUAUUUUAGGGUGUCUCGCCUGCCAAAGGGCAAAGUAAAGGAAUAGACAGAGAGGACACAACUCCACAUAAAAAGUGAGGGGCUUUCCAUAUACAGGAAUGAUGGGAAUCAAAAUUAACCAUCACAAAAUCAGAAGUUAAUGGUAAAGGGGCAGCUUAUGACUCCUUGUGCUGUUUUGUUUCUCAAAACAAGGACAAGUGAGCAGAGCACUACAUACAAUGGGAACACACAAGGGCCAAAAGCAAGGAAAGUUCUUGAUAUAAUGCAUGCUAUAUAAUGUCUUUCUUCACACAAACAGGAAAAAAUUGCCAACUAAAAUUCUGAUGGAUACUUUGCAUUCAGACAUUUUAUGUGGAGACAUGAGAGAGGCUUAGCUUAGGAAAUAGGGUAAAAACAUUGUCAGUACCUGAAAAUAUCAAUCUUCUUGGCCCUAGGUUUAUGCUACUCUGUACCAGGUAACCUGACAAGUUCAGGCGUUCCCCAGUUGUGGGUGACUAUCUGAACACUUUGUAUUCCCACUAUUCAUGAAUAUGUACCAAACCUCUCAUGCUCUCUGUGUGUCCAGUGUGUUUGCCAGGGCACAGCUGCAAAGGAAGCACAACAAGCCAGACACACGACUCACUCCACACUUGCUAUGGCUUUGAUUGUGAGGGCCAGCCAGUGGUAAUGAAAUGCUGUUACUGAUUUAUUUUCUUCUUGCUAUCUUCUACUAAACUAAAUUAAUACAGCACUCACUGAUGUCCUAAAUGACAUUUCAUGAAAAGAUAUCAGAGUAUACCUAUAACCGGGUAGUGGUUGUAGGACAGGCUUAUCUUAAAAACUGCCAUGCACCACACAAAACCCAUACAUAUGGUUAGGUAACAGCAGUUUUAAUUUUACAUAUGGGGUUGGAAGAUGCAUUUAAAUUAGAUAUAAUACUCUGUAGGUUAAGACCAGAAGGAAAGAUGUAGCUAACCAAAGUUUGGGGGCAACAUCUUCAUGAGACACCCCUGUUUUCACUCCUCCUCAGAGAUCUAUGUUCAGGUGUUGCCAGAAAGGAGAACACUAUAAUUUAUACCAACAUGUUUCCCCUGGAACCUUCUGAAAGUGCAAUCCUUUGGCUGUGUUGAAGUCAGGUGAAUAUUUGAUAUAGAAGUUUCACUUCUGCAUGUAGAACUAAUAGUUACUCUUGAUUUUGCAUAACAGAGGAUAAAAAUUUUAUUGUUUGUCCACUUUUUGGCUUAUUUACUUGAAAAAACUCCAAUUUAAAGCACUCUGAAUUCAGCUGCUUCUGACACUUAGAGGAGCUUUGAGAUUUGUGGAAUUUGGCCCAUAUGCGUCAAUGUAUUGCUCCAUCUCUGUGUGUGUAUAUAUCUUUUCAUAUAUACAUAUAUGGCCAGCAAAACUGCAGAAAAUUGUAUUUGAGAGAAACAACAAGCAAAUUAUAUUUGACUUUGCAUUGUUUUCUAGCUUGCUUGUUUUUGCAGUUUAGUGCUGGAUUUUUACCUGCAAGUUUCCUGUUUGGGCUGCAUUUUCUUUUCAGAUUUCUUCCUGUGUAGCACUUGAAUCAGUAGGCCAAAGAAACAGAAUAACAAUCAGGAGGAGACUGAAAGCAGGGUUUCAGUGAUGUAGAAAUAACUUGCCAUGGGAGUUAUUUUCAAACGUGUUGGCUCUUCUCGAGGCAGAGGGCUAGUCUGUUACUCCUGGGCAUUGGAAUGGAACAGCACUGGAAUGACAGAGCAUCUCAAAUUCCAAAGAGUGAGUGCUUUAAGUUGCUGGGCCUGUAUGUUGUCCAAAUGGGAUGUUCAAGUUUAGCUUUGAAAGGAGCAUUUGUGCCUGAAAAAAAAGAGAUUUUGUUGCCUUAACCAAAGGCAUAAGUAGGAAUGGAAACCUGAAUGGUCUCCAAGCUAUGGUGGACAUGCAGUGACUAAAUCUUUUUAAACAUGGCCACCCAUAUGCGUUCAGAUUUGGGAAGGCUUAGGAACUUGUUGGGUGGGCCGUGUCUAAAAUGUUUGCCUGAACCAAGCUUAUAACAGAAGUUUGGUGCAGAUUAGCCUCCUGAGAUACUCCUGAAAGCUCAGUUGUUUUUCAAAUGGAAACGAAUUUUUUCUGAUAGUGAGAAAAUUUAGUUGUUUAGUGCCUGAAAUCAGCUCACAAGACACAUGGGUUAUAAUUCAUUCAACUUUAUAUUAAAAGCAGACACUAGGUUUUAGUGCACUAUUUUCAAGCUAAAUGUCAAUCCCCUGUGCAGCAAAAGCCUGCUUCUUACAGGUUUAACUUCUUCAGGAUGGAUGGCAAGAAAGACUUUCAGAAUGACUUUCCAGGGGACUGUAUGCUCUUUACUGGCAGUGCAUGAUUUUAGCUAAUGGAUUUAUUAGCUUAUGCUAUUUUUUUCCUUCCUGUGUGAGUGGGAUCACACAGCAGAGACCCUCCCAGCAUGCAGCCUUUAAUAAUAGGUAAGGAGGAUUUUUCUAUCAAAAGACAAAUGAGAAAUUGCUCCUUGUGAGAAAGCUAAUUUGAGACUAUCUGAGGCAGACCUGCUAGGAUUUCUACCAAAUAGUGUCUAAAGAAUGCAAAUUGCUUUUAAAAAACUAGUAUUUCUUGAGUGUUUACUUCUGAAACCAGGGGAGGCGUGCAUUAGCUGCUCAGUAAGCAGAGUAUCAAACUGGACCAUAGAAGGAGAAGAGGAAAAUACCAUGGAAAAUAGGCCUGUAGGCUGAGCCAGAUUUUUUCCUGGUUUUGUGCAUAAAAAGGUCUUGUUACAGCCAUAUCCUUUAAGCCCUGUGGGGUCAAGAUGCAUUGCCAAGAAAGGCUUUUGCAUCUCUGAUCGCAUGCUGCCUCCUCCACCAGCCUGUAUUUUUCUAAAAAUAAUCCUGAUUUCAUACCUUAGCUGAUGGACCUUCUAGCAGCCACAAUAGAUGCAGCCUCCCUGGAAAACACUCAGUAAUAUGUAAAAGCAUUGAGGGAGCCACUCAUUGAGGGAGG